UACGUAGGGGGCAAGCGUUGUCCGGAAUCAUUGGGCGUAAAGAGCGCGUAGGCGGCCCGGUAAGUCCGCUGUGAAAGUCAAGGGCUCAACCCUUGAAUGCCGGUGGAUACUGUCGGGCUAGAGUCCGGAAGAGGCGAGUGGAAUUCCUGGUGUAGCGGUGAAAUGCGCAGAUAUCGGGAGGAACAUCAGUGGCGAAGGCGGCUGCCUGGCCCAAUACUGACACUCAGGUGCGACAGCGUGGGGAGCAAACAGG
rnacentral:rRNA from 1 species